GCCGGGGUAGCCUAGUCCGGACCAAGGCGCCGGCCUUGAGAGCCGGUGGCCCAAUCGGGCCUCGUGGGUUCAAAUCCCACCCCCGGCG
rnacentral:tRNA from 2 species